GGAGGGCAUUCUGUUGUCAUUGUUACUUGAAAAAACAUUGUUUCUAGAAAGCUCUCUUUACAGUCCCUUUUUAAUUAACCUUGUUUACUACAAUUGAAACAUCUGACAUUACUAUUUUUCUUCAAAUCUUUUGAAAUCACCUCUUUUAUCCAAGUAUCAUCAUGGCCAUGAGAUCAUAUCAUAUGCAUUCCCCAUUUGUGAAGCAGAUGCAAAACUCAUGGUCAACUUGUAAUAGAAUUAUCCCUCAAGACUGGAGAGAUUUGGUUACAGCUGUCUUAGAAGCUGGUCCCCAAUAAUGAUGGAGGAACUGGUGGAAGGAUGAGGCUAAGACUAUUAGCCAAUGAAUCUUGAGCUAAUUGGCAUUGAAAAUGCUAAUGCACAAUGCAAAAGGGUAAUUAGGCUGUUAAAGACAAGAUCAGCACCCUUGUAGGAAUGGAUCUGAGAAACAAUAAAUAUUGUGCUCUUGCAGUAUCAAAACAUUAAAGUACCCUUUUUUAACUUUAAGAGGGAAGAUACAGGGCACAGCCACAAUCUGCAUAAAACAAAACCAAGCUCCAAGAGUGCAAACAAAUUCAAAGUUCAGUACAUGGGAUUCGUUCACAUUCCUUUGGGCUUCCCUGAGGGGUUAGAUCACCUCUUUGUUCCAGCCCUCAGCAGCAUAUACACAGCCUGCCUUCUAGAUCCCAGCCUGCUCCAUUUCAUUGUGGCUGGUGCUUCUGGUGACUGUCACAUGGCACCGGCAUUUCCAAAACUGCUAGGGUCCACCAUUGCAACUGGGCUCUCUCUAGGAACUGUAGCCCGGCCACACUGUUGCAAGCCUCAGCUGCUCCCCAUGACCCCUUCAUGUCUUUCAUGAAAACGUCACCAACUGGGUGACUCUAUGUUACCAAGUUUUGCUGCCAGCACAAGGUACAUUCUGGCAUAUGAAGGCAUGGAGGUGCAGAUUUAUUACCUUAUUAAACAAACAUUGUUUUUAAAUCCCAUCUUUCAUAAACCUUGUUUUUAGGACAGGACAGAAUAGGACAAGACAUGACAAAACAGGAAUUAUCCAAAAUUCCAUCCUAAUCCAAAAUAUCUUGGAGACCUGUUGUUACCUCCUUGGUAGACCUGUGCCAUGUGGUCACCUUUAAUCAAGAUGGUAGUGAAGCCACAUGACAUCCAUCUUCCCCCCAACCCUAACAAAGAUGGCUGCCAGCCAUGUGGCUGCCUAAAUAUGGUGGCAGUACAUGAGUUGCUUAUAUUGCAAAAUGGAACCAUGCCACAUGGUUCCUUUAAGAUUACCUAUGCGGGGUUGGGGAUUUAGCUCAGUGGUAGAGUGCUUGCCUAGCAAGGGCAAGGCCCUGGGUUCGGUCCUCAGCUAGAAAAAAAAAAAGAUUACCUGUGCAUAGAGUUUUAACUCUCAACCCCCACUGUUACUAGUUUUAAGUUAACUUUUUUCAUAGAUUUCACAGACUUUUAGCCAUAUACAAUAAAAUAAACGUAUAAAUACUGAGGUACAGAAUGCUCACAUAAACCAAAUCUAAUUUUUUGGACUGAUCCAAAAGCUUUCUUUUCCCUGUCUUGUCUAAGGUGAGUCAGCUGACACAGGACACAGAGGAAACUUUUAAAUAGAGAAGGAAGAGCCAUAAGCCAACUCUAGCUCCAGCUUUCCAAUAAAAUAAAACAGCAUAAAACAACUUUACUGUUAUUCAUGCCCAAAGGACAUCUGAAUGCCUGAUGACCUGUGGGCAGAGAGCUCAGGGAUAGAUUCUGAGCCCUGGCCGUAGGAGCAGCCAUGGUAGCUGUGGCAGCUGGAGACUACUGGCAGCAGAGACAGCAAAAAUGUCUGACCUAUUUCUGUCUCAGCCCUAUGCUUGCAAUAAAACUUACAGACACCCAGAAAAACAGAGAGAGAUAAAACUUCCCAACAAAACAGGCAGACACAACUUUCCAGCAGGACAGACAAAACCUUCCCUGGGACACAGACAAAAGUUUCCAACCAAAACCAGAACCAGGUAUGUGUGUGACAUCUCGCUAUUUGUCCUGGAUGGGAGAAUGUUGGGGUCCUGUUGAAGCCCCUCCACUUCCCAGAUAGGCAUCCCACAAAACAGAACCCGACUAUGACUCACCAGGAGGCCUCCUCAGAUGCUUGCUGCUUUUCUCAGCGUGGGAGUUCACCCUGAAAAUCCACAUACCAAAGGCGGCUCUGAGCCUUGGACCGUCUCAAGGCACGUGCCCUCUGAAGCAGCCCCUCAGCCCCAGAGUUCCAGAGGGAAAGUCUAGCUUUAGAAUUUUUGAUAGAUGGUCUGAAUCUCUCUGGGGGGAUCCAGGAAAUGUUAAUAAUAAGAUGGUCAAUAAUAAGAUGACUACCACAAUUUAAAGCCAAAUUUGAAGCAAACUUUAAUUAAAUAGUGGCCAGGUGCAUGAGCUCUGGCCAGGUCCACACCUAGGUUCCCUGAAAAUGGCCCCAAGUCACGUUUGCGAGGGCUUAAGAAGGAAAACCCACAAUUCACUGCGUUUCCCCUCAGGUCCAAUCAGAGGCAACAUACAUCCUGACUUCCUUCCCGCACACCUGCCGCCAGCAUCUAGUCCGGGCAAGGUUACAUCCGGUCACACUUCCUGCCAUGGAACCUCAGGGCAUGUGGGCUCAAGCACAUUGGGUACAGAUGAGUCAAACAGAUGUGUUUGGGGAAGUGGAAACAUGUGGCUUGUUAUCUCGAUAAAGAGCAGCCCUCAGCGUUUCAAGAAAUACUAGUCCCUGGACAAGGGGCUUGGAGAGCAGGGGCAUUUUUGUUUCAUUGUUCUCUUAAGUAAAAUGUAAAACUUAACAUGGGCUGUCUCAGCAGCAGAGACACUUCUGAUCUCAUGAAGAGCCUACAAGCUGGGCCUCUGCUGUUCCUAUGAUGGCCUCACAUAUGGGCCCCCAUUGUUUCUUAUGGGAGGCUAAGAAACAGCAGAAGCCCAGGAGCUGGGCCUCUCAUAAGAAAAAUGCAGAGACCCAGGAGCUGGGCCUCCCAUUAGAAACAGCAGAGGCCCAGGAGCUGGGCCUCCCAUAAGAAAAAUGUGGUUGGGGGAGGAGGGGAUCACAACACUGGGUAGUUUGAGAACCACUGACUUAGAGAAUGUUACUCCUUACCCAGGGUCUAUUCAUGCUUAAGAAUGUACAUCUAGCCUCCUUGUCUUUCCUAACUUUGUUAAGCUUAAGCUAUUUUUGAUAAACUGAAUCAUAUAAAAAAACUGUUAUAUUCUGUAACAGUGCACUAUCAAAGGAUCAGAAACAUUCCCAGUCUCUCUGUGGACUGUGUUUAUGAGUUCAAAGUUUUAUUUGAUACUAAAAAGAGCUUCAAUUCAGAAAUUGUCAUUAUUUAAGGCUCGCUUGUAAACUGUGAAAGAUGAUUAAGACAUGCAAGUAAAUAGCCAUCUCAUAAAGGAUCAAAUUCUUUAAUAUGUUCAGAACUAUAAUUGUAGUCAUGCCAAGCACUAAUGUAAUUAAUUAUAGGAAAGAGCUUUAUUUAGCCUCCUAUAUGUGUUUUAUAAGGUUAAGCCUAGUUUUGUUUACCUCAGAUUUACUUAAUAGAUAAUGGUCCUCAAACUUGUCAGAGAUCUGAUGAAUAUGGUAUUAAAAUGUUUAAUGGAAAAAGCUUAGCAUGACAGAGACCCACAGCUCCUACCAGUGACCCCGAGAUCUGCAAAGAAGAUGACAGGGCACCAUGAAAACUCCACCUGGAUUAUGGUAAUGCUAACCACUUGGAAAGACUGCCACAAGGCUGCGUCAGCCACCAGAACCCAGCCCAAACUGUGGACAAGCAGGACAGUGAGAGUUCAUCGCCCCACUUUGCCCAGACAAAGUAAGGUCAAUCCCCACCAUGUUUCUCCUCCACAGGAAAAGCCUCUCAUCUAUUGGAUCUGGUGGCUGAAGACUGAUGCUGUCCUGGUACUUCUGCCCCCAAAGCCAACGAGACCACAGGAGCCUGAUAUGACCAUCUGGCAGAUUUCCACUCGGCUGACAGACACCAUCCAAACAUCAGCUGCUAACUACAACCUGUUCCAAACAACUGUGGAUCAAUCCAACCAAUCAGAUCGCUCCCUGUCUUGAGCUGGAUCAGCAAACCAGAUGCUUCUGAUGAAUAAUGCUCCAUUGCCUGAAUUCCUUCCUCCAUUUGACUAGCAUUCUAGCCUUCCUGGGCCCUGACAACAAUGUUCUAGUUUCAGCAGGAAGGAGUUAUAGAAGAGACUAACUACAUCAUCCCUUGUCCUCCGAUAGGCUGGAAUGUUAGAUCAAAAGAAUACUCCCUGGCACAGGAGACAAAAUAGCUACCUACAGUGCCUAUUGGCAUGUUGGGAAAGGCACCUACUAAAACCAAAUAGACCCAGAUCUGGCAACAGGUAAAUUCAUUAGCUGAAACAUUUCUACAAUAUUAUAGGGUACUCAACCUGCUCUAUGUAAAACAGAGGCUAUUGUGUGGCUUCAAGAGAAAAUUGUUGUUUCUAUAUAAACCACUCAGGGAUUAUUAGAGAUAACCUGGGUGUGUUCAACGAAAGCAUUGCAAAAAAGGAGACCUGAAAUGAAAUAAAUAAUUGGUCCCCAUUCUCAUUUCCAGGCUCCUUCUAAAUAGUGACUCUGAUGUCAGUCAUCACAGGGCCUUUGGAUCUUCUGUUUCUGCCAAUCACUGUUGACUCUUACAUCACUGAUGCUUUAACUAAGUGAUAAGUCCUGUCUGGGUACCAUUAAGCUUAUGGUUAUUAGAUCCUAAUAUAUACAGGUACCUAUCACAGAGUCCAGGAUUUGAUACAGUGUAUAAAUCAAGAUAGAAGGAAGAAAGCCCGAGUUAAAUUUUAAGUUUAAAUUACUAUGCCUAAGAGAUCCAUGAAACCAAAAUGCCCCUGAUCUGCAGUCACCUUGCCCAAAGACAGAUAGUUCCUGAAAUGCUAGAGGCUAUUAUUUGUGAGAAAUAAUAAGCCACAUGUAUCUACUCCCUAAAGACGUUGUUUGACCCAUCCACAACCGAUGUGCUUGAUCACAUGUGAGCGGACGUAGGUGGGUAGGAAAUGUAUCAGGAUGCCCUUGAUUGGAUAUAGGCAGGGAGUAUGCAGGCAAAAAUAGGGUAGGAUGUAUGCCUCUACCUGAUUGGACCUGAUGAGAAAUGUAGGAAACUGUGGGUUUGGCCUUUUUAAGCCCAUAUAAAAUGUGAUCUGGGGGCAUUUCCUGGGAACUGGGUAUGGACAUGGGCAGAGUGUAUCCUCCUGGACACUAUAAAAUUAAAGCUUGCUUCAAAUCUA